UACGUAGGGUGCGAGCGUUAAUCGGAAUUACUGGGCGUAAAGCGUGCGCAGGCGGUUUUGUAAGUCAGAUGUGAAAUCCCCGGGCUUAACCUGGGAACUGCGUUUGAAACUACAAGGCUAGAGUGUGGCAGAGGGGGGUGGAAUUCCACGUGUAGCAGUGAAAUGCGUAGAUAUCUGGAGGAACACCGGUGGCGAAGGCGGCAUCCUGGACCAACACUGACACUGAGGAGCGAAAGCCAGGGGAGCAAACGGG
rnacentral:rRNA from 1 species